rnacentral:rRNA from 1 species
CCUACGGGGGGCAGCAGUGGGGAAUAUUGCACAAUGGGGGAAACCCUGAUGCAGCGACGCCGCGUGAGUGAUGACGUAUUUCGGUACGUAAAGCUCUAUCUUCAGGGACGAUAAUGACGGUACCUGAGGAGGAAGCCACGGCUAACUACGUGCCAGCAGCCGCGGUAAUACGUAGGUGGCGAGCGUUGUCCGGAUUUACUGGGCGUAAAGGGAGCGUAGGCGGCCUUGUAAGUGUGAAGUGAAAUCCCAUGGCUUAACCAUAGUGCUGCAUUGGAAACUGUGAGGCUAGAGUGCAGGAGAGGAGAAUGGAAUUCCUAGUGUAGCGGUGAAAUGCGUAGAGAUUAGGAAGAACACCAGUGGCGAAGGCGAUUUUCUGGACUGUAACUGACGUUGAGGCUCGAAAGCGUGGGGAGCAAACAGGAUUAGAUACCCGAGUAGUC